rnacentral:rRNA from 1 species
GGUGAACGCUGACAGUAUGCUUAACACAUGCAAGUCAACUUGAACUUCGGUUGGGGUGGCGGACGGGUGAGUAACGCGUAAAGAACUUGCCUCACAGAUAGGGACAACGUUGGGAAACGAAUGCUAAUACCUGAUAUUAUGAUGAGAUGGCAUCGUAUAAUUAUGAAAGCUAUAUGCGCUGUGAGAGAGCUUUGCGUCCCAUUAGCUAGUUGGAGAGGUAACGGCUCACCAAGGCGAUGAUGGGUAGCUGGCCUGAGAGGGUGAUCGGCCACAAGGGGACUGAGACACGGCCCUUACUCCCACGGGAGGCAGCAGUGGGGAAUAUUGGACAAUGGACCAAGAGUCUGAUCAAGCAAUUCUGUGUGCACGAUGAAGUUUUUCGGAAUGUAAAGUGCUUUCAGUUGGGAAGAAAAAAAUGACGGUACCAACAGAAGAAGUGACGGCUAAAUCCGUG